rnacentral:rRNA from 1 species
UGGGGAAUUUUGGACAAUGGGCGAAAGCCUGAUCCAGCAAUGCCGCGUGUGUGAAGAAGGCCUUCGGGUUGUAAAGCACUUUUGUCCGGAAAGAAAUCCUUGGCUCUAAUACAGUCGGGGGAUGACGGUACCGGAAGAAUAAGCACCGGCUAACUACGUGCCAGCAGCCGCGGUAAUACGUAGGGUGCAAGCGUUAAUCGGAAUUACUGGGCGUAAAGCGUGCGCAGGCGGUUUGCUAAGACCGAUGUGAAAUCCCCGGGCUCAACCUGGGAACUGCAUUGGUGACUGGCAGGCUAGAGUAUGGCAGAGGGGGGUAGAAUUCCACGUGUAGCAGUGAAAUGCGUAGAGAUGUGGAGGAAUACCGAUGGCGAAGGCAGCCCCCUGGGCCAAUACUGACGCUCAUGCACGAAAAGCGUGGGGAGCAAAACAGGAUUAGAUACCCUGGUAGUCCACGCCCUAAAACGAUGUCAACUAGUUGUUGGGGAUUCAUUUCCUUAGUAACGUAGCUAAACGCGUGAAGUUGACCGCCUGGGGAGUACGGUCGCAAGAUUAAAACUCAAAGGAAUUGACGGGGUCAUAGCUGUUUCCU